rnacentral:rRNA from 2 species
CCUGGCGGCAGUAGCGCGGUGGUCCCACCUGACCCCAUGCCGAACUCAGAAGUGAAACGCCGUAGCGCCGAUGGUAGUGUGGGGUCUCCCCAUGCGAGAGUAGGGAACUGCCAGG